rnacentral:rRNA from 1 species
UACGUAGGGUGCGAGCGUUGGCCGGAAUUAUUGGGCGUAAAGGGCUCGUAGGCGGUUUGUCGCGUCGGGAGUGAAAACUCAGGGCUUAACCCUGAGCCUGCUUCCGAUACGGGCAGACUAGAGGUAUGCAGGGGAGAACGGAAUUCCUGGUGUAGCGGUGAAAUGCGCAGAUAUCAGGAGGAACACCGGUGGCGAAGGCGGUUCUCUGGCCCUCUUCUGACGCUGAGGCACGAAAGCGUGGGGAUCAAACAGG